GAAAAUUUUGGAAAUAAAAUAAUCAGUCUUAUUGUAAACAUGGGAAAAAUCUCUCAUAUUCGAAAAUUUCAUAAAAUUGUUAGUUGGGAAAAACUAUCAAUAAAGUGUGAGCAUACUGUAAUAACUAAGUAUUUAUUUGAUUUUAAAAACUUCUUUAUAUGAUCUAAGGCCUAUUAACAAUAUACAGCUGACUUUUUUGGUCAACAGUAAGCCGAAAAUCUGAUAUAGGGAAAGUUUUAAAAAAUAAAAUUACUAGAAAGUACACGUAUUUUGAAUGAAGUUACAUAAUUCUUUCAAUAGCAAGAAGCCACCAUCGAAAUCGAUUUCAGAAUGAAAAAAGGUGACCAUCGAGUUUCAAGUUGCUACCCAAUUUCGGGACAUUCACGAAAUUUUUUUUUUAAUCCAUUAUUCAUUUAUAAUUAUUUUAAAACAAUAAUAGCAGUAGAAAAAGGAGAUUUAUAUAGCCGUAUACGUUAUGAGAAAUCAGCCUACAAGAAACAUAUUCAGAAUUAUUAUUAAUUGAAAAUUUCUGCAGAGAACGUAUAUCAUCGAGAAUGUUUACCGUGCGGCCAUUAUCAAAAUAUUUCACUUUUCGAAGGGGAACUGAAAACGAUGAGCGUGUUUCACCACGGAAAGUUAUUAGCGUUUUUCAUUACAAUUAUAUGAGAAAAAAUGCUAAUGCCAAUGUUAAGAAUAUACGCUCACAGAUUCGUUUGUUUACAAUGCGCAAACGACUGCAUAUAAUUUAUAGAUAAUCUGUAUAUAUUUGAUAUCACAGCACAUAAGUAUAUACACAUACGUAAGUUCAAAUUGACCUAUGGCAGGCACCUUGCCGUGGUGCAGGGACUUGAAGUCGCGAGGCAUUCUCGGCAUCUCCCAACCGGGGUGAGGAGUGUUGACUAGCGCCUUUUACACGGGUUAGCCGAAGCCGCAUACAUACAUUUGGUGGUCGCUGAACGGAUCCUUCCCAACACCGCGCCGCAUUGGGAAGAAACGGUGGCCGGACAUUGUGUUCCUCUGAACAAACGCUGACCCGACGACUCGCCUUGUCGAGCCUAAGGUAGUAUGUACAAGUGGAAACAACAACAACCAACGGAUCAAGGCAACAACAACAGCGAACGGACACGGACAAAGAUGAUAACACCAGCAACAGCGCAGGAAAGGGUGACUCAGGGACUUACCGAAAGUUCAGCUUCCCGGAUUCCCUUUAAUUAGAAGAGCGAGCGCUAUUCGGGGAGCAUGCAAGAGACGAUGACGACGACAUGCCCUCGUGCAGCGGCGCUCAGCAGGCGAGAUUGUCUGCGGCCGGUGCUGAUAAAGCGAACCCCAUCGAGGCUCCCUCGAGCAGGAUCAACUGCUCGGCUGCCUCAAAACUACCCGGCGAAGAUGCUGGGGUCGGAGGAGUUCACCGUGCUCCAAGACCUACUCAUGGAGGAGGUAUUCAGAGGGUCAGGAUACAAGGCCUCCUUCCAUGGGGUAUAUUUCAAGGGAGGAAUGCUGCAGGUUGACUGCAAGGACGAAAAGUCAGCAAACUGGAUGAGGGAGAUCGCUCCCAAGCUGGCAGGCUGAAAUGGCCCCGUCCUCUGUACAAAGAUGAGAGGCGAUAUAACUAUAGGUUCAGCUCGGUGGUCAUGAGGCCAUACAAGCCAAAGACGACCACCGAAACCAAAACGGGGGAGAAGAUGCUGGCAGAUGAGGUUGCGACUCAGGCGCCAACUGCUGAGACCACGGUGAAGAUCUCCACUGAGAAGGCUAGCAAACAAGGGUGGGUGCAACCCACCACGCAAGAGCUCCUCGAGGGACUCUAGGACCUAGCGGGUGGCAACGCGGUGGACGGCGAAGAUGAGGACCAGUCCCUCAUGGAACCGAUCCUGUAGUGGGUCCACACACGGAAGUUGACCAGGUGAACCUGAACCACGCGGCGUCGACCUCGGCUGUCAUCGCGAGCAGGUUCACAGCGGAUAGUCUGGGCAUACUACUGAUCCAGAAGCACUGGAUAUAUAAAGCAGAGGUCAGAGGCCUCAAAUGGGAGUUAAGAGUUUCUAACACAAGACCUGGUCCCUGUACAGGCUAAAAACAAUGAAGCAGCGGACUUUGUUCUGGCAGCGGCCUACUUUUCGAGGGACGCACUAGCAGCACCCCCAGAGGCUGUCAGUAACCUGGUGGAAUACUGCAGAAGGAAUAACCUGCCCCUCGUCCUAGGAUGCGAUGCCAACGCCCAUUAUACGGAAUGGGGCAGCACGGACUGCAAUACACGGGAAAAUGAUACCCUUAAUCUUUUUAAUAUUAAUUGUUCAAACAAUGGCGGACAUCGUGGACUAUACAAGAGAGGAUUAUGUCUUAUUAGAGGACCGAGACUUAGCUUUAUAUAAUGAAUAUGGCGACAUUUUUCACAAUAAUAAUUUAACUUAUUUUAGAGAACUUAUAAAUUCAGACAAAAGUUAUAGUAAUAAGAAAUACAGAUAUAAUAAUUCACAAGGGAAUAAUUAAAAUGAGGUAGUAUUUAAUUCUUUUCAAACUAAUAAUUCUUUUCAAACUUUUUAAAGAAAAACUUACACACUCACCACCUUUCGCUUUUAGUACAAUUAUAAUUUUAUUUAUAAAUGAAAUUACGGGUUUUAAUCACUCCCUUAAUACUACAAUCACUUGCGACCCAGCGCAGAGAAAAAAAAA